AACGAACGCUGGCGGCGUGCCUAACACAUGCAAGUCGAGCGCGAAAGUCCCUUCGGGGGCGAGUAGAGCGGCGGACGGGUGAGUAAUACAUGGAUAAUCUGCCCUCGAGAUCGGGAUAACCCUGCGAAAGUGGGGCUAAUACCGGAUAAGACCACACAACACAAGUUGUGUGGUAAAAGGUGGCUUGAAUUUAUUCUAGCUAUCACUUGAGGAUGAGUCCAUGGCCUAUCAGCUAGUUGGUGAGGUAAUGGCCCACCAAGGCUAUGACGGGUAGCUGGUCUGAGAGGACAACCAGCCACACUGGGACUGAGACACGGCCCAGACUCCUACGGGAGGCAGCAGUGGGGAAUAUUGGGCAAUGGGCGAAAGCCUGACCCAGCGACGCCGCGUGGGUGAUGAAGGCCUUCGGGUUGUAAAGCCCUUUCGUGCGGAAAGAAUUAUCCCGUAGUUAAUAUCUACGGGAUUUGACGGUACCGCAGGAAGAAGCACCGGCUAACUCCGUGCCAGCAGCCGCGGUAAUACGGAGGGUGCAAGCGUUGUUCGGAAUUAUUGGGCGUAAAGGGCGCGUAGGUGGUUAUGUGUGUCAGAUGUGAAAUACUUCGGCUCAACUGAAGAACUGCAUCUGAAACUGCAUAGCUAGAGUACAGGAGAGGGAAACGGAAUUCCCGGUGUAGAGGUGAAAUUCGUAGAUAUCGGGAGGAACACCUGUGGCGAAGGCGGUUUCCUGGCCUGAUACUGACACUGAGGCGCGAAAGCGUGGGGAGCAAACA
rnacentral:rRNA from 1 species